rnacentral:rRNA from 1 species
UACGUAGGGUGCGAGCGUUAAUCGGAAUUACUGGGCGUAAAGCGUGCGCAGGCGGUUUUGUAAGUCUGUCGUGAAAUCCCCGGGCUUAACCUGGGAAUUGCGAUGGAGACUGCAAGGCUAGAAUCUGGCAGAGGGGGGUAGAAUUCCACGUGUAGCAGUGAAAUGCGUAGAGAUGUGGAGGAACACCGAUGGCGAAGGCAGCCCCCUGGGUCAAGAUUGACGCUCAUGCACGAAGCG